UUUGCAUUGCUUCCCCCCACGAACAAAAUAAACGAGCGUACGCUCGUUUUGAUUCCAGAGCAAGUAAAGACCGGUGUUGAUAUGACGACGGUUUUACACACAGUUUCACAUGCUGUGCAGUAGCUCAACUGUAUGCGCAAUCAUUGUCAUCGCUAUCUCGCGUUCCGAGGCCGCAUCUCGUGUGUGAGCAGUUGUACGGUUUGGACAGCUAUGGAGAAGGAAGUUACGUUUGUACCAUUGCCAACAAACGAUAGGUUACAGCACACUCACAUACACACACACAUUGUAAACUGUAAAUUGCAAGAAAAUCACAGAAAAUCAUCGUCAGCUGUGCAGCUGCAUGGUUCCGCCAAAAGCAUUUCGUUCUGGCCCGUGUUUUGCUCUCGAAGAUUGCGCAACUUUUGACAGCUUUUGCUUCGGCGCAACCCCAUCGCCUGCCUGAGGAUGAAAACAAGCAGCGAUAGAAGGGCAAGAUCAUCAUCCAGCCGACACACACAGAGACACACUAAACACGGUUUCCCCAUGCCGUGUUGCAACCGAUCGGCCUGUGCGGAUCAUUAAAAAUAAAUACUCUUCCACACCA